AUUGAACGCUGGCGGCAGGCCUAACACAUGCAAGUCGAGCGAGUGGCGGACGGGUGAGUAAUGUCUGGGAAACUGCCUGAUGGAGGGGGAUAACUACUGGAAACGGUAGCUAAUACCGCAUACCAUCAGAUGUGCCCAGAUGUGAUUAGCUCGUAGGUGGGGGAAAGGCUCACCUAGGCGACGAUCCCUAGCGGGUCUGCGAGGAUGACCAGCCACACUGGAACUGAGACACGGUCCAGACUCCUACGGGAGGCAGCAGUGGGGAAUAUUGCACAAUGGGCGCAAGCCUGAUGCAGCCAUGCCGCGUGUGUGAAGAAGGCCUUCGGGUUGUAAAGCACUUUCAGCGGGGAGGCGUUACUCGCAGAAGAAGCACCGGCUAACUCCGUGCCAGCAGCCGCGGUAAUAC
rnacentral:rRNA from 1 species